UGCUGCUGCCACCUCCUCCUCCUCCUCCAGAGCCUCCUCCGCCUCCCCCGCUGCUGUGCCGGGAUGUCUUCUGGGGGAGAGAUUUGAGAGGAAUUGCAGACCCUCCUUGCAUGGGCUUAGGGAAUGCUUCCAGAAGAAGGGUGUUCUCCAGCCUGAAAGUCCUAGCAUGUCCCAGCCAGCUCGUCCGAAGUGCAGUGUCAACCACUGAGGCCCAAAAGAGGCAAGGACGCAUCUUGGCCCCCGUGAGCCCAGGUGGAGACCCAGCCUGAAGGCUUCACCCUCCCCAGGCCUGGAGCUGCUCCCUCUUAGGUCACCAGCUACCUCCCAACUGCCAAAUCCAGGGGCUAAUUUCAGGCCGUGUCGACCGGCAGCUCCCCCGAGUUGGACACCGCUCCUACCCGCAGAGCCUCACACCCUGCAAGACCCCCUCUUUCGUGGCCCACCUGACCUAUCCUUGUGGACCCUGGGAUUCCAGCCCCUGCCUUAUAAGCCUGGGGCUGCCAUUAAACCCUGACCAGGAGUCUGACACCCACC